GUAGACUCCUGCCCUAUGGGCCGUUCUCAUCAAGCUGCCUCUCACUACAGAAACAGGAGGUAGACUCCUGCCCUAUGGGCCGUUCUCAUCAAGCUGCCUCUCACUACAGAAACAGGAGAUAGACUCCUGCCCUAUGGGCCGUUCUCAUCAAGCUGCCUCUCACUACAGAAUCAGGAGAUAGACUCCUGCCCUAUGGGCCGUUCUCAUCAAGCUGCCUCUCACUACAGAAACAGGAGAUAGACUCCUGUCCUAUGGGCCGUUCUCAUCAAGCUGCCUCUCACUACAGAAACAGGAGGUAGACUCCUGCCCUAUGGGCCGUUCUCAUCACGCUGCCUCUCGCUACAGAAACAGGAGAUAGACUCCUGCCCUAUGGGCCGGUCUCAUCAAGCUGCCUCUCACUACAGAAACAGGAGAUAGACUCCUGCCCUAUGGGCCGUUCUCAUCACGCUGCCUCUCACUACAGAAACAGGAGGUAGACUCCUGCCCUAUGGGCCGUUCUCAUCAAGCUGCCUCUCACUACAGAAACAGGAGGUAGACUCCUGCCCUAUGGGCCGUUCUCAUCAAGCUGCCUCUCACUACAGAAACAGGAGAUGGACUCCUGCCCUAUGGGCCGUUCUCAUCACGCUGCCUGAUAUUAUCUCAUAGAACAAAACGUGUCAAAUCUCCGAAACCUGUUAGCCUCAGACCGCGUUAUCCAAAACACCUCCAAAAGCGGCAUUAAAUUUCCCCCCGUAGGCUUUGAGCAACGAGCCAUUGGGACUACAAGCUGGCGAGCCCUAUAGCUCUGUUCCAAAGUCCAAUUCAUUUAUUAGUCUCUCAAAUCCGUGUAUUUCUUUACACACCUAUGACCGCAUAUUGUGUGGAAGCUCAGGGGGGGGAAGCUAAAUUCCAGACCACGAUGUCUUUCUCGCUCUCUUGUAAUAAAUGUGAUCAAAUUGGCCAAUAGGAGACUUGUUGAAUGCCUUCCAGUCCUUGUGAUAACCUCUCUCUGUCUCUCUCUCUCUCUCUGUCUCUCUCUCUGUCUCUCUCUCUGUCUGUCUCUCUCUCUCUCUUCUCUCUCCUCUCUCUCUCUCUCUCUCAGCUCGGUCUAUCCCCCCCCCCCCCAGAGCAGCAGGGUAGACCAGUCAGGCAGGCAUGGCUUCGUGUUGUGAAUGAACAACUCAGGCACGUUCUCACAUUCCUCAAGGCAAACAGCACAGAGAUUGCUGAGAUUAUCAUAAUUGUCCUAUUUCGUGCAAUAGUUCCGUAUACGCUUACCUUUCAAAAGACUACAGGCACUGGGUAGCUGUAAGUAUAAGGGUUAUUACACCAUCAUUGGAUACAAGUGUCACUAAAUGAAGACCUGAAUCAAAUGUAGCCUACAGUAGUCGCUAAUUCCUACCUUUUUGUGAUGACGACCAACUGUGAUUUGAUGCGGGGUAAAAUGACAUGGUUGCUGCACAGCCAGCCCAGCCAAUCGGAAGGCUUAUCCUGAGCAAUAACCGCUGCAACCUGGUCUCAGAGCUUUUUGUAUUAUUCUGUACGUAAAUCUGGGGAAACUCAAUUUCCUGUGUUAUUUUAUGUAUUAAUUUGUGGAUGUCUAUCACCCAUUUCGUAUGAUAUGUUACGAAAUACGAUUUGUAUUAUAUGUUACGAAUUCUAGCUCGGCUAGGGGUUUUUGAGUUAGGCUAAAGAGUUAAGUGUUAGCUAACAUGCUAAAUGGUUGCAAAGUUUCAACAAAAAAAAAAGUAGUAAGUAGAUAAAAUGCUAAAGUUGUCUGUGAUGCGAUUCGAACUCACAACCUUUCGGUUACUAGACGUUGGCUUUAUACACCCACUCAUCCGACUUCCGUUUUUUUUUUUUACCUCAAGUAAACCAUCUGUCUUAUACAACCCUAUCAAACAUGCCAUACUAAUUUUACAGUCCCGGAUUUACGUUUACUAUGUAAUGACAGUGUAUGAGACCAGGCUGUAACAACCACAUCGAUGAGAGCCGACGUGCACUUAAUAAUACCGUGCGCGAUAUGUAGGCUACGCAAACAAAGGCAACACGCCAGAAACCUUGGGACUUUUCAAAACGUACCAAGUUACUUUCAUCGAGCUUCUGAAUUCUAUAAAUGAAUUCAGAGAACAGCCAACUGUUUCGAGAGAUAAACCAACAAGUAUCAGUGAACAGGCGCUCUUUGCUUUACCAAAAAUAAUCUGGCCAGCAUUCCGGAAACAAAUGGUGACUGUGUCCCCUACUAGAGCGUUCAAUCUGUCUUUAUUUGUGCUCGGAUUGUGAAAGUCUACCGUAAUAAUCGCCCUACCCAUGUGAACUCGGUAUAAUUGAUUUAAGUAACAAAUUGUCCCCAGUAGCUGCUGAAAGAAACACAGUUGUCUGUGGGGGAGGGGUGGCCCUGGACAAACCGAGCAUGUGAGUCGUGACAUGAUCUUUCUAUGUAGAGAAAGCGCCUAGAUAAAUACAAAAAAAAAACGAAAUGUAGCCAGUAGAUGAACUAACUACCUACUGCAACAGUCUCCCACUCCAAUACUGAGCAAACAAAUAAUAAUAAUGUAGAGAUACCGUGUGUGUUACAGUGUUGCAAGCUCACCAGUUGAACAAGAAAGUGUCUCAUUGGUAAAUCAAUGCUGAUUGUUGGCUUCGUUUUUUUACAUUAUUCUGUCGGUCCAAAAUAAUGACAUCAGUUUCAGAGGAAAAAGGCCGGAUCACCUUGACUGUUAACCUUGAACCCUGAUUCCUUCCAAAAAAAUCUAACUGUAUUGGGAUAAAACUACUAAUUACCGAGGUAAUGGAUGUCCCCCAUUGUCAUUUGGCACAUUAUUUUGUUCAGAGAAAUAAAGUAAUUGAUAUUUACCAACUCUUAUCAAUGUUUUCCAUUCUGGGCUGACAGCAGAAACAAGCAUGCCAUUAUGGCAAGACAAGCACAUGUUAGUUGCAAUCCAACACCAUAUCAUGUAAAUGAUGUCCUUCAAAAUGACCUCUUUGGCAAAGGACACCGAGUCUAGCUUUCGUUGUACGUGAUCGACCCGGGUUUAAACGAAUAAUAACGGAUAGGAACAUUAUUAACGUUCACUUGACCUAAAAGUCUGAAUAUAUUUCAACUGCCUUUUUUUUUUAUUUUUUUUUUUUUUUAGACAGAACUAAUUUUCAUGACAUUUAUUUUGAAUCGUAUUCCAUCAAUAGGUUAUACGGUUAUUUUACAGAAGAGUUUUUUAUAAAUCACGUUUAAUUGAUUUGUCAUGUUUCCAUUGAAGAGUGAAUGAUCUCUACACAGCACGCUAUGGUCAAUCAAACAGGUGCUGUAUCAGGAAAUACAGAACGACUCAGGAACUCUCUGUGCCGUUACAUUAUUCUGACAAUACACGGAAACAACAGGGCUACAACUCCUAUCGUUCUUAUCCUCCAGUUCAUUUCAAGAAAAAGCGUCGAUUAAAAGUAGUUUAUUACGGAUUUAUGUACUUACACCAACUGCCACCAGUGCGUCCUAGAAAUUCCUUCUUUUCCGAAUUCCACAGAAAGCUCUUCCAUCCACCGUCUCCAUCUUUAUUUGCCGACAUCUUUUUUUUUUGCCUUUUAAUUUCCCUUUUCAAUCAAUAUUAUCUAAUGGGUGUAGGUACCCGAUUCGUGUACUGUCCCCCGGUACAGAAUAGUAAAGGACAGUUUCGUACCCGGCUCUCCUAUUGUACACCACACAUUUAGUUCUUAUGGUAUCCGACUCCGCCCGCAAACUCUUGUAAUAAGUUACCUACAAAGAGGGGGGGGCUAACUCUGACCAAUCACAAGCGGUCAUCCUUCUGCGUAAGAAUCAAGGGGGCAACAGCUAUGAUCACUGCUCUAUGAAGGCAAGACUGCUCUAUGAAGGCAAGACUGCUCUAUGAAGGCAAGACUGCUCUAUGAAUGCAAGACUGCUCUAUGAAUGCAAGACUGCUCUAUGAAGGCAAGACUGCUCUAUGAAGGCAAGACUGCUCCACGAGGCAAGACUGCUCUAUGAAGGCAAGACUGCUCUAUGAAGGCAAGACUGCUCUAUGAAGACAAGACUGCUCUAUGAAGGCAAGACUGCUCUAUGAAGACAAGACUGCUCUAUGAAGGCAAGACUGCUCCACGAGGCAAGACUGCUCUAUGAAGGCAAGACUGCUCCACGAGGCAAGACUGCUCCAUGAGGCAAGACUACUCUAUGAAGGCAAGACUGCUCCACGAGGCAAGACUGCUCCACGAGGCAAGACUGCUCUAUGAAGGCAAGACUGCUCCAUGAAGGCAAGACUGCUCCAUGAAGGCAAGACUGCUCUAUGAAGGCAAGACUGCUCCAUGAAGGCAAGACUGCUCCACGAGGCAAGACUGCUCUAUGAAGGCAAGACUGCUCUAUGAAGGCAAGACUGCUCCAUGAGUCAAGACUGCUCUAUGAAGGCAAGACUGCUCCAUGAAAGCAAGACUGCUCCAUGAGUCAAGACUGCUCCAUGAGGGUUCAAAACGAAAUGGUGUCAACUCAAAUGGUAGAAUUAUUAAACCCGAAAUAGAAUUAAAACAAUUCUAUGUUGAUGUCAUAAACUCGGAAACAUUAUAUUACCAUUCUUGGAGUUCUAUUAUCACAUCGCAGGUUUAAAAAGUAAUUAUAUUUCUCAGGAGUCAACUUUGUACUUUAGUACAUUUGAUUAUAAUUGUUGCUAAAUAUCACAUCCAUAAAAUUAAUUGUUUAUUAAGGGGGGGGGAAAAACAUCUUAUUCAAUAUUUUUUUUUUUAAGGUAGACUUAAAUAAUUACUUUGCCAAAUUGCU
rnacentral:lncRNA from 1 species